rnacentral:sRNA from 1 species
UGGCGCAGGCAGGCAACUGCGCUGUAUACCCGUGUAGCCGAAUUAACGUUUAAGCGGCGUGGCAACGUCGCCGGGCACGGGGCCACCGCAAGGUGGUUUUUUUUU